rnacentral:rRNA from 1 species
GACGAACCGUGCGAACGUUGUUCGGAAUCACUGGGCUUAAAGGGCGCGUAGGCGGGCUCACAAGUCAGGGGUGAAAUCCCACGGCUCAACCGUGGAAGUGCCUUUGAUACUGUGGGUCUUGAGGGAGGUAGGGGCGUGCGGAACUUCCGGUGGAGCGGUGAAAUGCGUAGAUAUCGGAAGGAACACCGGUGGCGAAAGCGGCGCGCUGGACCUCUACUGACGCUGAGGCGCGAAAGCCAGGGGAGCAAACAGG